rnacentral:rRNA from 1 species
GCUUACGGCCAUAUCAGCCUGGGUACGCUGAUCUCGGAAGCUAAGCAGGGUUGGGCCUGGUUAGUACUUGGAUGGGAGACCGCCUGGGAAUACCAGGUGCUGUAAGCA